AAUAAACGCUGGCGGCGUGCCUAACACAUGCAAGUCGAGCGAGAAAGCUCCUUCGGGAGUGAGUAAAGCGGCAAACGGGUGAGUAACGCGUGGGAAUCUACCUUUCAGUGAGGAAUACCCUCGAGAAAUCGAGGUUAAUACUGCAUACGUCCCUACGGGGAGAAAGGCGGCCUCUUUGCUGUCGCUGAAAGAUGAGCCUGCGUACUAUUAGCUAGUUGGUAGGGUAAUGGCCUACCAAGGCGAUGAUGGUUAGCCGGCCUGAGAGGGUGUACGGCCACACUGGAACUUAGACACGGUCCAGACUCCUACGGGAGGCAGCAGUGAGGAAUCUUGCUCAAUGGGCGAAAGCCUGAAGCAGCGACGCCGCGUGAAGGAUGACGGUCUUCGGAUUGUAAACUUCUGUUAAGUGGGAAGAAAUCUCUAUUUCUAAUACAGAUAGAGGAUGACGGUACCAUUAGAGAAAGCACUGGCUAAUCUCGUGCCAGCAGCCGCGGUAAUACGAGGGGUGCAAGCGUUAUUCGGAUUUAUUGGGCGUAAAGGGUGCGUAGACGGCAUGCUAAGUCAACUGUUAAAUUCCUCGGCCUAACUGAGGAUCAGCGGUAGAAACUGGCGCGCUUGAGGGUGAGAGAGAGAAGUGGAAUUCUCGGAGUAGCGGUAAAAUGCGUAGAUCUCGAGAGGAACACCGAUGGCGAAGGCAGCUUCUUGGCUCAUACCUGACGUUGAGGCACGAAAGCGUGGGGAGCAAACAGGAUUAGAUACCCUGGUAGUCCACGCCGUAAACGAUGAUCACUGGACGUUAAUCUUGCUUUGCAAGAUUAGUGUCGUAGCUAACGCGAUAAGUGAUCCGCCUGGGGAUUACGGUCGCAAGACUAAAACUCAAAGGAAUUGACGGGGGUCCGCACAAGCGGUGGAACAUGUGGUUUAAUUCGACACUACGCGAGGAACCUUACCUAGGCUUGACAUGUUUUUGACAGUCGUAGAAAUACGAUCUUCUUGGCUUCGGUCAAGACAAUUUCACAGGUGCUGCAUGGCUGUCGUCAGCUCGUGUCGUGAGAUGUUUGGUUAAGUCCUCUAACGAGCGCAACUCUUGCCGCCAGUUGCCACUUCGAAAGAAAGCACUCUGGUGGGACUGCCUGGGAAACCAGGAGGAAGGUGGGAAUGACGUCAAGUCCUCAUGGCCCUUAUGUCUAGGGCGACACACGUGUUACAAUGGCCAGUACAAAGGGCAGCGAUACCGCAAGGUGGAGCAAAUCCCAUAAAACUGGUCUAAGUUCAGAUUGAGGUCUGCAACUCGACCUCAUGAAGUUGAAAUCGCUAGUAAUCGCGCAUCAGAACGGCGCGGUGAAUACGUUCUCGGGCCUUGUACACACCGCCCGUCACACCACGAAAGCUGUUUGUACCCAAAGCCAUCUUAGCUAACCCGUAAGGGGGGCGGAUGUUUAAGGUAUGAGGAGUGAUGGGGUG
rnacentral:rRNA from 1 species